GAUGAACGCUGGCGGCGUGCCUAAUACAUGCAAGUCGAGCGAACAGACGAGGAGCUUGCUCCUCUGACGUUAGCGGCGGACGGGUGAGUAACACGUGGAUAACCUACCUAUAAGACUGGGAUAACUUCGGGAAACCGGAGCUAAUACCGGAUAAUAUAUUGAACCGCAUGGUUCAAUAGUGAAAGACGGUUUUGCUGUCACUUAUAGAUGGAUCCGCGCCGCAUUAGCUAGUUGGUAAGGUAACGGCUUACCAAGGCAACGAUGCGUAGACGACCUGAGAGGGUGAUCGGCCACACUGGAACUGAGACACGGUCCAGACUCCUACGGGAGGCAGCAGUAGGGAAUCUUCCGCAAUGGGCGAAAGCAUGACGGAGCAACGCCGCGUGAGUGAUGAAGGUCUUCGGAUCGUAAAACUCUGUUAUUAGGGAAGAACAAAUGUGUAAGUAACUAUGCACGUCUUGACGGUACCUAAUCAGAAAGCCACGGCUAACUACGUG
rnacentral:rRNA from 1 species